rnacentral:rRNA from 1 species
AUACGGAGGGUGCGCACGUUAAUCGGAAUUACUGGGCGUACAGCGCGCGUAGGCGGUUCGGUAAGUGGGAUGUGAAAGCCCCGGGCUCAACCCGGGAACUGCAUUGCAAACUGCCGAACUAGAGUACGGUAGAGGGAGGUAGAAUUUCCUGUGUAGCGGUGAAAUGCGUAGAUAUAGGAAGGAAUACCAGUGGCGAAGGCGGCUUCCUGGACUAAAACUGACGCUGAGGUACGAAAGCGUGGGGAGCAAACAGCAUUAGAAACCCGAGUAGUCC